GGCGUGCCUAAUACAUGCAAGUCGAGCGAACGGACGAGAAGCUUGCUUCUCUGAUGUUAGCGGCGGACGGGUGAGUAACACGUGGAUAACCUACCUAUAAGACUGGGAUAACUUCGGGAAACCGGAGCUAAUACCGGAUAAUAUUUUGAACCGCAUGGUUCAAAAGUGAAAGACGGUCUUGCUGUCACUUAUAGAUGGAUCCGCGCUGCAUUAGCUAGUUGGUAAGGUAACGGCUUACCAAGGCAACGAUGCAUAGCCGACCUGAGAGGGUGAUCGGCCACACUGGAACUGAGACACGGUCCAGACUCCUACGGGAGGCAGCAGUAGGGAAUCUUCCGCAAUGGGCGAAAGCCUGACGGAGCAACGCCGCGUGAGUGAUGAAGGUCUUCGGAUCGUAAAACUCUGUUAUUAGGGAAGAACAUAUGUGUAAGUAACUGUGCACAUCUUGACGGUACCUAAUCAGAAAGCCACGGCUAACUACGUGCCAGCAGCCGCGGUAAUACGUAGGUGGCAAGCGUUAUCCGGAAUUAUUGGGCGUAAAGCGCGCGUAGGCGGUUUUUUAAGUCUGAUGUGAAAGCCCACGGCUCAACCGUGGAGGGUCAUUGGAAACUGGAAAACUUGAGUGCAGAAGAGGAAAGUGGAAUUCCAUGUGUAGCGGUGGAAUGCGCAGAGAUAUGGAGGAACACCAGUGGCGAAGGCGACUUUCUGGUCUGUAACUGACGCUGAUGUGCGAAAGCGUGGGGAUCAAACAGGAUUAGAUACCCUGGUAGUCCACGCCGUAAACGAUGAGUGCUAAGUGUUAGGGGGUUUCCGCCCCUUAGUGCUGCAGCUAACGCAUUAAGCACUCCGCCUGGGGAGUACGACCGCAAGGUUGAAACUCAAAGGAAUUGACGGGGACCCGCACAAGCGGUGGAGCAUGUGGUUUAAUUCGAAGCAACGCGAAGAACCUUACCAAAUCUUGACAUCCUUUGACACUCUAGAGAUAGAGCCUUCCCCUUCGGGGGACAAGUGACA
rnacentral:rRNA from 1 species